AAGCGCUUGCAACCAGACUUGCGCGCGGCGGUUCCCCCUUCCUUUUGGUUGGGUUACUCCGCCGUGUCCAGGCCAACAUCGGUUCUGGGGGCCGGUUAAAGGUCCGGGGAAUGUACCUACCCUUCGGGCGUAGACUUAUAGCCCCGGGCGUCAUGCGACCUCCCGGGACCGAGGAACGCGCUUCGGCUCGGAUGUUGGCGUAAUGGUUGUCAGCGA
rnacentral:rRNA from 1 species